GGCUCAGUGAGGCGUCCGGACUGGCCUAGGGAGGUCGGCAACGACCACCCAGGGCCGGAAAGUUCGUCAAACUUGGUCAUUUAGAGGAAGUAAAAGUCGUAACAAGGUCUCCGUAGGUGAACCUGCGGAGGGAUCAUU
rnacentral:rRNA from 1 species